rnacentral:rRNA from 1 species
AGAGUUUGAUCAUGGCUCAGGACGAACGCUGGCGGCGUGCUUAACACAUGCAAGUCGAGGGCGUGGGGCAACCCACGACCGGCGAACGGGUGCGUAACACGUGAGCGACCUGCCUUCCCGCGGGGGAUAGCCGGCCCAACGGCCGGGUAAUACCGCAUACGCUCGGUUGGGGGCAUUCCUGAUCGAGGAAACUUCCGGGGCGGGGAGAGGGGCUCGCGGCCUAUUAGCUAGUUGGCGGGGUAACGGCCCACCAAGGCAGUGACGGGUAGCUGGUCUGAGAGGAUGGCCAGCCACAUUGGGACUGAGAGACGGCCCAGACUCCUACGGGAGGCAGCAGUGGGGAAUCUUGCGCAAUGGGAGCAAUCCUGACGCAGCGACGCCGCGUGGGGGAGGAAGGGCUUCGGCUCGUAAACCCCUGUUGCCCGGGGCGAACCUCUGGUUUCGACCAGACUGACGGUACCGGGUGAGGAAGCACCGGCUAACUCCGUGCCAGCAGCCGCGGUA